GAUGAACGCUGGCGGCGUGCCUAAUACAUGCAAGUCGAGCGAACAGACGAGGAGCUUGCUCCUCUGACGUUAGCGGCGGACGGGUGAGUAACACGUGGAUAACCUACCUAUAAGACUGGGAUAACUUCGGGAAACCGGAGCUAAUACCGGAUAAUAUAUUGAACCGCAUGGUUCAAUAGUGAAAGACGGUUUUGCUGUCACUUAUAGAUGGAUCCGCGCCGCAUUAGCUAGUUGGUAAGGUAACGGCUUACCAAGGCAACGAUGCGUAGCCGACCUGAGAGGGGGGGCUACCCCCCACGCAGGAACCGAAGCCCCGGACCACCACGGGCGGGAGUGGGCAGGAAGUGAGCCUCCGGGUUGCAGGAAAGCCGGACGGAGCACCACCGCGUGAGUAAGGAGGGUCUAUGGAAAGAAACACUCAGUACUGAAGAACAAAGAAAUGUGUAAGUAUCCACGCCCGUCCGGCCCCUACCCAAAAAGCAAGCCAUGCCUAACUC
rnacentral:rRNA from 1 species